rnacentral:misc_RNA from 1 species
AAGUCGUAACAAGGUUUCCGUAGGUGAACCUGCGGAAGGAUCAUUAAAAAACGAUCACCGGUGUACCCAAGCGACGUCGAUUACUCGACCUUGUGGGGCUGUCCCAAACUCACAGCAUUACCAGUCGCGCGGGAUACUGAUGCCCUAGCCCUCGAGCUAGGGGCCGAGUGAAUCCCACCCGUGUCUACAUACUUUUGUUGCUUUGGCGGGCCGUGGCCUCCACUGUGGGCUCUGCCUGCAUGUGCCCGCCAGAGGAUCAAACUCUGAAUUUUAGUGAUGUCUGAGUACUAUAUAAUAGUUAAAACUUUCAACAACGGAUCUCUUGGUUCUG